UAGGGAAUCUUCCACAAUGGGCGAAAGCCUGACGGAGCAACGCCGCGUGUGUGAUGAAGGGUUUCGGCUCGUAAAACACUGUUGUAAGAGAAGAAUGACAUUGAGAGUAACUGUUCAAUGUGUGACGGUAUCUUACCAGAAAGGAACGGCUAAAUACGUGUCAG
rnacentral:rRNA from 1 species